rnacentral:rRNA from 1 species
GCACCACAACGGGUGGAGCCUGCGGGUUUAAUUGGAUUCAACGCCGGGAAGCUUACCGGGAUCGACAGUUGUAUGAAGGCCAGGCUGAAGACCUUGCCGGACUAGCUGAGAGGAGGUGCAUGGCCGUCGUCAGUUCGUACCGUGAGGCGUCCUGUUAAGUCCGGCAACGAGCGAGACCCAUUUCCACUGUUGCUAACACGACCGCGAGGUUGGUGAGUACACUGUGGAGACCGCUGGCGCUAAGUCAGAGGAAGGAUUGGUCGACGGUAGGUCAGUAUGCCCCGGAUCCCUUGGGCCACACGCGAGCUGCAAUGGAUGGGACAAUGAGUUCCGACCCCGAAAGGGGAAGGCAAUCUUCAAACCCAUCCUCAGUUGGGAUCGAGGGCUGCAACCCGCCCUCGUGAACAUGGAAUCCCUAGUAACCGCGUGUCAUCAUCGCGCGGUGAAUACGUCCCUGCUCCUUGCACACACCGCCCGUCGCUCCAUCCGAGUUUGGCUUUGGCGAGGCGUGGCCAUGUUGGUCAUGUCGAACCUAGGUUAGGCAAGGAGGGAG